rnacentral:rRNA from 1 species
GAUGAACGCUGGCGGCGUGCCUAAUACAUGCAAGUCGAGCGAACAGACGAGGAGCUUGCUCCUCUGACGUUAGCGGCGGACGGGUGAGUAACACGUGGAUAACCUACCUAUAAGACUGGGAUAACUUCGGGAAACCGGAGCUAAUACCGGAUAAUAUAUUGAACCGCAUGGUUCAAUAGUGAAAGACGGUUUUGCUGUCACUUAUAGAUGGAUCCGCGCCGCAUUAGCUAGUUGGUAAGGUAACGGCUUACCAAGGCAACGAUGCGUAGCCGACCUGAGAGGGUGAUCGGCCACACUGGAACUGAGACACGGUCCAGACUCCUACGGGAGGCAGCAGUAGGGAAUCUUCCGCAAUGGGCGAAAGCUUGACGGAGCAACGCCGCGUGAGUGAUGAAGGUCUUCGGAUCGUAACUCUGUUAUUAGGGAAGAACAAAUGUGUAAGUAACUAUGCACGUCUUGACGGUACCUAAUCAGAAAGCCACGGCUAACUACGUG